CGGCCUCCUAAGUUUGCUCCUAUGUCUAUGGAUGACAAGACGUCGAAACAAGAGAGAGAUGCCGCCAGAAAAGAGAAGCACUUCUUAAGACAAGCCACUGAGAAUACAUACAUGAAAGAUGUGUUGGACGAGCUCGAGGACAGACCUGAACUUAAUGCAUGUGAUUUGAUGGAUUUAAUCAUGAAAAAAUAUUUAUAUAAUUUGACUUUGUGUAAGGUAAUGGGAGUUUGUAUUAGAAAUAAGAGAUUGAGAUUAUAAGUUAAGGAAUUGUGGUUUUAGAAUUUGGGGUUUGGAAUGGAAAGAAUAGAUUGAGGUUAAAGGGAAGAUGGGUUUGAGGUUUGGAAUAUAUGAAGUAGAAGAUAAGGAAGAUGGGGUUUGGGGUUUCGGAUUUUAGGGAUUUAAACAUAAUCCUCGUAAUUUUCUCGUAAGGUAACGAGGAAAUAACGACGAAAAGAACGUGGGACUCGUUAAUUCCACGUAAGCACAAUUCGUCGUAAAGACCUCGUAACCGGAAAACGGUGACCUUGCUAUUUCCUCGUAAAUAAUAUCGCCUUGCUAUUUCCUCGUAAAUUAACAACCAAUAAAAAAGAAGAGAAGAAAGAUACUAGAAUCAUCGGAGGGAAGAAACAAGGCGAGACCUACGUAAGUCUAGCCUUGUCUCCGCCCACAUGUGUUCCCGUAUCUUUCUCCCCUUCUUUUUUCAAAGCUUUCUAAUUUUAGAAGCAAACUGGUGAGUAAUUAUCUCUGAUUUGAGAAGAAAAUCAGUGAGUUUAUCUUUGAUUUAAGAAGCAAACUGGUGUGUAUUUAUAGAAAAUUUCGAAAGGUUUUACGACCAAUUAGCUUCGUCUCCUUCCUCGUAAAUAAAAAAAGCAGGUCUCGCUAAUUUCUCGUAAGUGAACGAGGAAAUUACGAGGAAACCCAACACGGGCCUCGCGAGUUCCUCGUUAAUUCUACGUAAGCACAAUUCGUCGUAAAGACCUCGUAAUAGGAAAAUGCUUGCCUCGCUAAUUCCUCGUUAAUCAACGAGGAAGUUAUGAGGAAACAAAACGCGGGCCUCGCUAAUUCCUCGUAAGGAAAAACACGGGCCUCGCUAUUUCCUCAUAAAUUUACGAAAAAAUUACGACAAUUACUAAUUUCUUAUAUAACACGUGAGCUUCGCUCUCUUUUUAUAUGUAUAUUCUAACUUUCUUAAAUGUUUUUAGCCAACUCCCGUCUCUUAUACAACUUUACGAGAGGACCCACAAGAAUAAGGCGGGCCAAUUUCUAGAUGGCAAGGCUGAGCAAAUCUUCAACGACUUGGUUGCUCAGGUUGACGACCGCCAGACCCAACUGACUCAGCAGUCCACCGACGGAUUACCCGUCACCUUAUCCACACUUGAAGUGGAUAAUAUUUACAGGGAGAGAAAAAACCAGCUAUGGGAUACAUUUAUGCAGCCAUGGACAGGGCAAAAGAGACAAUCGAAAGGGAUUUCAAGUGGAAUAAAGAGAAGUACGAAGAAGCCUUUGAGAUCAUUGACAAAAGAUGGGAGUGUCAGCUUCACCAUCCUUUGCAUGCUGCUGGGUAUUUCCUAAACCCUUCAAUCCAUUACAAAUAUCACGAUGAUGUACGUUGCGCCGAAGUGGAAGGGGGCUUGUACAAUUGCAUUACUAGGUUGGUUUUUUAAAUUGUGUUUUUGUUUUGUAUUAAUAGGUUGGUACACAUUUUCAGAUGAUAGUUUUGUUUGUGUUUCAUUAAUAGGUUGGUUCCAAGUACAGAGACUCAAGACAAGAUAAUGACAGAGUUGGAUUCUUUCAAGGACGCUUCUGGUAUCUUCGGCCACGACAUGGCCAUCAGGCAAAGAGAUAUCAAAGCACCAGGUAACACAAAUUUGAAUUACUUUAAGAUAAUUGAUCUAAAUAAAUACUAACAAUUUUUUUUAUUUUAAUAGCUGAAUGGUGGUCUUGUUAUGGAUCUUCUGCUCCAAAUUUGAGAAGCUUUGCUGUUAAGAUCCUUAGUCUGACUUGUAGUGCUACUGGUUGUGAAAGAAAUUGGAGUGUUUUCCAACUUGUAAGACUUUUAAUCAUUUUUAUUGUAUAUUUGUAAGUGAUUUUUUUUUAACUUAUAAGUGUUAAACUUGAUUUGUAACAGCUUCAUACAAAGAAGAGAAAUCGCCUAGCACAACAUCGGCUGAACAACAUGGUUUUUGUGAAAUACAACAGAGCUCUAAAACGCAGAAGCUUGAGAAGUGUGUGCGCCACCAGAGAUCCUAUUCUUUUGGAUGAAAUAGAUGACAGCAAUGAGUGGUUGAUUGGAAGAAUGGAUGGAGAUUCAUCUGAUAAUGAUGAUUUGGUGUGGGGAGAUGAUGAUUUGUCAUGGAAUGUUGUGAGCCAAGCUAUGGGUGUUGAAGAACCUAGCUAUUCUACUAGAGGAGUUGGAGCAAAAGGUGCAAGUUCAUCUAAAACAGAUAAAGGAAAAGGUAUUGCUAGCUCAAACCAGAAGCAAUCAUCUGCGCCUGGUAUGAGAUUGGUUGAUGAAGAUGAUGAGUUGGAAGAAGAUUUAGAUGAAGAUGACCUUGGGUAUGAAGAUGUUGAGUACGAUGAUGAAGAUGACAAUAAUGGUGUUUCUGAAGAUGAAUUUUAGGUAUUGGUUUUGAGUUAUUUAUUAUGAUAUUAUCUUUUGGUUUCUACAUUUGAGACUUUGUUUUUGGGUUUUCUUUUUCAAUAAUUUUGUUUUGGUUUAACUUAUCUUCAAAUAAUAAAGUUGCAUCUUAUUUAAAUUUAGUGUAUCAAUCAUUGCAUAAGUGUUUUCUACGUUUCUUCUACAAAACAAGACGUAAAUAAAAUAACGUAACGUAAAUGUUCUUCAAGGCGAGCGCCAUAUUGCGCCAUGGCGCGAGGCGCAAGGCUCGGCACGUCUCGCCUUGGUGCGCCAUGCGCCAUUUUAAACACAGGACCUGAAGAGGUGGGUUUGGAAGGAAAUUUUACUUUGCAUCUGAUAUGAGUGAGUAGCUGUUUUUAAUUUGUGUGUGUGAAUAAUAUAUAAACAGAUCAGAGACUGGCAUGGUGCUGAGAGCAAGGAACAGAGGAAGUUCAUAGCACAGUAUGAAAGACAACAAGAGGUUGAAGAAGAACUCUUUGCCCGAGCACCUCGC
rnacentral:lncRNA from 1 species